rnacentral:rRNA from 1 species
UACCAGCACCCCGAGUGGUCGGGACGAUUAUUGGGCCUAAAGCAUCCGUAGCCGGUCCUGCAAGUCUUCCGUUAAAUCCAGCUGCUCAACAGAUGGGCUGCGGGGGAUACUACAGGGCUAGGAGGCGGGAGAGGCAAGCGGUACUUUAUGGGUAGGGGUAAAAUCCGUUGAUCCAUAGAAGAACACCAGUGGCGAAGGCGGCUCACUGGUCCGGUACUGACGCUGAGGUGCGAAAGCGUGGGGAGCAAACAGG